AGACAGACUCCAGGUGUGCUGCACCCACCAUCUCCCCCGAUGCAAAGGUCAAUGAUUUCACAGAAAAGCUGCAGGACAUUCUUCUAGUCGUUUUCCAUUCUGCAGCAGAUGUAUCUUUACGUAAGGAUCUGGAAGAAAUAAUAUCCGUCGCUUAGUAAUCAAUGCACAAAUAAGAAGAUCAUGCUUCACCGGUGCACCGCUCUCCUCCCUGCUCUCCUCUUCGCCCUAUGACUGAUGCCUUCUUUCCUCGAGAUACAUGACAACUUCUACCACCACUGUUACCUUCAACGCGUCCGACGCCAUCUGUAUUCCUGCAACGGACAAGCCCGACGAGAUCGAUGCGUUCUACAAUGCCUGGCUGGAGGUCCUCUGGGGCGUACAGACACUCUGUUUAUUCUGCACGUCGGAGCGCGACCCGCGGCCGACCUGCCUCCGGCGUGCUGAGUCGAUGGACUUGGGGGUUGCAUGUUCGGAACAAUGUGUGCCAUGCCGGAGGACCUCGCCUCUGUCCCGGCCUUUGAUGCUUUUACUUUACGGGAUCUGUCUGUUUGCGGGUAUUAUGAGCCCACCAAUGCCGCAUUAAUCUCCUUGUAUUUGUGCUUUCCACCCGCCCCAACCACACCACCCCCGACCACGACUCCCGAGAUAUUGCUGUGCUCCUCUCUGGGACUGGGGCCUGCG